GGGAAGAGAGAGGAGGGGCGGGGCUUUAUAAUGACGCGCUCGAGGCUACGGAAGAAGGAUGAGGCGAGGAGAUCCCGGCGGUGAACGCGCGGCGGCGUAGAAGGAAGGGGCGCGCGCGUGACGCGCGGGGGUUUCCCUGCGGGAAAGAAACGCGUGACAGGCGGGCCCCGGUUCGGGCGACGCGCGCGGGGCCGGUUCGGGCGCGGUCGGGCGUGGUGGGAACGGGGCCGGUUCGGCCCAUUUGGCCGGGCCGGUCCGGUUUUCUUCCCUUUUUUUUCUUUUAGCCUUUUUUAUCUGUUUUUCUUAUUUCUUUGAUAUCUUUUGAUUUUGAACUCCAAAUUGGCCCAAAUAAAUUCCAGAAAAUUUGUAAAAUCAUGUUUUACCAUGAUACAACUUUUGGGAGCAAUUUCCCCUCAAAAUAAAAUAUAUAAAAUUACAUUUGCCCUAUAAAUGCCUUUAGGGCUAUAUAACUAUUUAAAUAAAAUAGUUUUUCAACUCCAAAUAAUUAUCCAAAAAUUAUGGGAUAGCUCAUUUAUGCAAUAAACCCCUGUUUUAAAUAAACCCUAUUGGUUUGAAGAUCCAAAGCUCAAAUGGGCGAAACCCUAGGGUUUAAAUUGAAAAAAAAACUUUCCAAAGCCUUUUGAGAUUCAAAUUUGAAUUCAAAUAUGCAACUGUGGCAUGAUGCUUAUGAAUGCAAUGCACAUGUAAAAGUUUGAAAUUUUUGGGAUGUUACACCAAUGUACUUCGUCAGCACGAUGCUGCGUG
rnacentral:lncRNA from 1 species